AUCAAACUCUGUCGGGGGAGGAUUCAUACACCAGGUUGUGUUUUUCAGCGGACAGUCUUAACAGGUCAAGGCUACUCGUUAGACCGUUGAUAAAAAUGUUUCUCAUGUUUGUUUUGUUCUGUUUGUCCUGGUGGAGUCUGAUCGAUGUGUUUGGUGAGUCAGUGUCAGUGAUCGAAUGCGAUUCUGUUACUUUACACACUGAUAUUACUGAAAUACAUGAAGACGAUGAUAUAUUGUGGAAAUUUGGAACUGAAAAAUCCCUCAUAGCUAAAAUCAGGAAAGCUGCUGGAAUCUUCUCCACAUAUAGCAGUGCUGAUGGGAGAUUCAGAGACAGACUGAAGCUGGACAAACAAACUGGAUCUCUGACAAUCACAAACAUCUCAACAUGCUGGAUGUUAUGAAGUACGGAUAAUUGGAGCAAAAUUGUCAUUAAAAACAUUCAGUGUUUCUGUCUAUGCUCGUCUGCCUGUUCCUAACAUUACCAGAGACUGUUCUUCAUCAUCAUCAUCAUCAUCACAGCAAAAUUGUUCAUUGUUGUGUUCAGUGGUGAAUGUGGUGAAUGCGACUCUCUCCUGGUUCAAAGGAAACAGUUUAUUGUCCAGCAUCAGUGUGUCUGAUCUCAGCAUCAGUCUCUCUCUACCUCUGGAGGUGGAAUAUCAGGAUAAAAACACCUACAGCUGUGUGAUCAACAAUCCCAUCAGCAACCAGAUCACACAUCUGGACAUCAGCAAACUCUGUCACACAUGCGCAGGUACGCCUUCAUCUGUGGUGAUAUAGCAUUUAUUUACUUAAUCAAACCAUCACAUUCACUUACAUUAAAGUAUCUCUUUUACUCUCCUUCAGUUGUUGUUAUGUUCAGCUAUUAGCGAUUACUGUCUCCCUGAAUAUAGUAUAUUGAUUGCCUGUGCUAGUUCUUAUACAUAGGGCAUGUGAUUUAUGUUUGGAGUUUCUAACUACGGGUGCUGUGUAUGAAAUGCCCCACUAUUUACUGUUUUCUGUGAAUUUGAAAUGUGUUCACAGUCUUACAUGACCAGUGUACAUAAUCAAGAUAUUUAUCAGACAAUUCCAUAUGGCUGCUAUUGUUGUUAAUAAAGUAUAUUCCUUGUAACUCUUA